rnacentral:tRNA from 1 species
GGGGAUGAACGCGAAAUGGAAAGCGGACUGACUUUCGAUCAGUCGGUUGCGAGUUCGAGCCUCGUCAUCCCUG